rnacentral:ncRNA from 1 species
GUUCGAUAAAGGCAAACCCGGCGAAAGCGGGGACGCAAAGCUCCGGGCCUAAAGAAUGAGGUAUCAUUCCACGGCGGCCGAGUUACCGAA